CGAGCGGACAGAUGGGAGCUUGCUCCCUGAUGUUAGCGGCGGACGGGUGAGUAACACGUGGGUAACCUGCCUGUAAGACUGGGAUAACUCCGGGAAACCGGGGCUAAUACCGGAUGCUUGUUUGAACCGCAUGGUUCAGACAUAAAAGGUGGCUUCGGCUACCACUUACAGAUGGACCCGCGGCGCAUUAGCUAGUUGGUGAGGUAACGGCUCACCAAGGCGACGAUGCGUAGCCGACCUGAGAGGGUGAUCGGCCACACUGGGACUGAGACACGGCCCAGACUCCUACGGGAGGCAGCAGUAGGGAAUCUUCCGCAAUGGACGAAAGUCUGACGGAGCAACGCCGCGUGAGUGAUGAAGGUUUUCGGAUCGUAAAGCUCUGUUGUUAGGGAAGAACAAGUGCCGUUCAAAUAGGGCGGCACCUUGACGGUACCUAACCAGAAAGCCACGGCUAACUACGUGCCAGCAGCCGCGGUAAUACGUAUGUGGCAAGCGUUGUCCGGAAUUAUUGGGCGUAAAGGGCUCGCACGCGGUUUCUUAAGUCUGAUGUGAAAGCCCCCGGCUCAACCGGGGAGGGUCAUUGUAAACUGGGGAACUUGAGUGCAGAAGAGGAGAGUGGAACUUCCACGUGUAGCGGUGAAAUGCGUAGAGAUGUGGAAGGAACACCAGUGGCCGAAGGGUCGACUCUCUGGUCUGUAACUGACCGCUGAGGAGCGAAAGACGUGGAGGAGUCGAACAAGGGAUUAGAUACGGCUGCAUCAGUCCCACCGCCCGUAAAAC
rnacentral:rRNA from 1 species